rnacentral:rRNA from 1 species
AAAGGAAGAUUAAUACCCCAUAAUAUACUGGAUGGCAUCAUUCGGUAUUGAAAACUCCGGUGGAUAGAGAUGGGCACGCGCAAGAUUAGAUAGUUGGUGAGGUAACGGCUCACCAAGUCUGCGAUCUUUAGGGGGCCUGAGAGGGUGAUCCCCCACACUGGUACUGAGACACGGACCAGACUCCUACGGGAGGCAGCAGUGAGGAAUAUUGGACAAUGGGUGAGAGCCUGAUCCAGCCAUCCCGCGUGAAGGACGACGGCCCUAUGGGUUGUAAACUUCUUUUGUAUAGGGAUAAACCUUUCCACGUGUGGGAAGCUGAAGGUACUAUACGAAUAAGCACCGGCUAACUCCGUGCCAGCAGCCGCGGUAAUACGGAGGGUGCAAGCGUUAUCCGGAUUUAUUGGGUUUAAAGGGUCCGUAGGCGGAUCUGUAAGUCAGUGGUGAAAUCUCACAGCUUAACUGUGAAACUGCCAUUGAUACUGCAGGUCUUGAGUGUUAUUGAAGUAGCUGGAAUAAGUAGUGUAGCGGUGAAAUGCAUAGAUAUUACUUAGAACACCAAUUGCGAAGGCAGGUUACUAAGCAACAACUGACGCUGAUGGACGAAAGCGUGGGGAGCGAACAGGAUUAGAUACCCUGGUAGUCCACGCCGUAAACGAUGCUAACUCGUUUUUGGGCUUUCGGGUUCAGAGACUAAGCGAAAGUGAUAAGUUAGCCACCUGGGGAGUACGAACGCAAGUUUGAAACUCAAAGGAAUUGACGGGGGCCCGCACAAGCGGUGGAUUAUGUGGUUUAAUUCGAUGAUACGCGAGGAACCUUACCAAGGCUUAAAUGGGAAAUGACAGGUUUAGAAAUAGACUUUUCUUCGGACAUUUUUCAAGGUGCUGCAUGGUUGUCGUCAGCUCGUGCCGUGAGGUGUUAGGUUAAGUCCUGCAACGAGCGCAACCCCUGUCACUAGUUGCCAUCAUUAAGUUGGGGACUCUAGUGAGACUGCCUACGCAAGUAGAGAGGAAGGUGGGGAUGACGUCAAAUCAUCACGGCCCUUACGCCUUGGGCCACACACGUAAUACAAUGGCCGGUACAGAGGGCAGCUACACAGCGAUGUGAUGCAAAUCUCGAAAGCCGGUCUCAGUUCGGAUUGGAGUCUGCAACUCGACUCUAUGAAGCUGGAAUCGCUAGUAAUCGCGCAUCAGCCAUGGCGCGGUGAAUACGUUCCCGGGCCUUGUACAC